rnacentral:misc_RNA from 1 species
GGGUGAAUAAGCUUGUUUAUGUUAGACCUUUAAGGGCCAGGUAUAAGCCGGAGAUUGGUGAUAUUAUAGUCGGCCGCGUUAUUGAGGUUGCUCCAAAGAGAUGGAGGUUGGAAAUUAAUUUCAGCCAAGACGCUGUACUAAUGCUCUCUUCUAUGAAUCUUCCAGAUGGCAUUCAGAGGCGGCGAACAGCAGUUGAUGAACUCAAUAUGCGAAGCAUAUUUGUGGAGAAUGAUGUCAUCUGUGCUGAAGUCCGUGGUUUCCAACAUGAUGGGAGUCUACAC